UAGUCAAUUAAUCCUAAAGCACUAUCAUGUCGUUGUAGUACUGAAGGUUGUCAAUCCAAAUGGGUGUGAUGCUAGCAAUCAAGAUGCAAUCAGAGUUCACAAAGUUAAGCUAAGCAAUAGUAGGUUUUGGGGUGUUCUAGCAGUCCUAAGUGAACAUGCAAGAAACAUAAAUUCAAGCAGAACAGUAAAAACACUCGACCAACACAGCUUGCUGCCAAGCACUGGGUGUGGUCGAGUGACAGGUCGAGUAACAGACAGAAAAUGUAACAAGGAUACUCGACUGCACAGUUUAUUGCCAGACAACUGGGUGGUCGAGUAUCAAGUCGAGUAACAGGAGAGAAAUGUAAAAACGAAGCAACAUGUAACAAGAUGCAGUAAACAACAGCAAAGCAAACAAAGUAAUCAAUUAGGUAAAGAAUUCCCGAGGAUGGGGUAAUUGAGUAGUUUCGUUUCCUCAGUUUACAAGUAAUUGAUAUGCUCAAUAAAUUAUCUCUAGACAACAAGUUCGAUAACCAAAUCUAAGUGCCACCGCAACAGAGACCCUCAAGUUAAACCAGUCCUAGACUCAAUCACCAUUGACGAGAGCUAACCUAACAGGCAUUACGAAUCAACAAGUUAAAGCCAAAACGCUCCCUGCAACCAAUACCUUGGUAUAGAGCCACAAAUCUCUGGAAUUAGUGGUUCAGACAUUUCAUCGAACAUCUUUUGGGUGCAGAAAUGUCUGGGCUCAAAUUCUAUAAAUCAAACUCAACCACCUAGCAUACUGAGAAUUCUAAACUACUCUAACCCAUCCUUAGAAACCUAGUCACUACUCAGACAUCAUAGUAGAAAGCAUAAACGAUGAAUAAAAUGAAAACAUGACAACAACAGAGUAAUAGCAAGAUGAUAACAGGAAGAACAACUUAGUAAACGAAAUCAAAAGCAAAUACUGAAUACUGAAUAGAUUAAGAGAAAUCCAGAUUACAAAAACGUCAAGAACACAGUGACUACGAAAUAAAACUUAGAUAAACGAAAAUGUAAAAUACAUGCUACUUAUAGCAAAAUAUUCCGAAACCCUAAUACUCAAAGCAACGCAGUAUUGGGACGGAUUAGGAACGGUACUCGACCUAGGUGGUCGAGUGAAUGUGAUGGAGUUCCUCGACCAGGUGGUCGAGUGGUGUGAUCGAGUGA
rnacentral:sRNA from 1 species